UACGUAGGGCGCAAGCGUUAUCCGGAAUUAUUGGGCGUAAAGAGCUCGUAGGCGGUUUGUCGCGUCUGCCGUGAAAGUCCGGGGCUCAACUCCGGAUCUGCGGUGGGUACGGGCAGACUAGAGUGAUGUAGGGGAGACUGGAAUUCCUGGUGUAGCAGUGAAAUGCGCAGAUAUCAGGAGGAACACCGAUGGCGAAGGCAGGUCUCUGGGCAUUAACUGACGCUGAGGAGCGAAAGCAUGGGGAGCGAACAGG
rnacentral:rRNA from 1 species